CAAAUGAGUUUUCAGCAAGGUUUUGAGAACCAGACUGGUCAUCAAACUGCUCUAGUCACUGGUUUACUGGUCCAACCAGUCCAUUCGUGGUUCAACCGAAAAAAUUUUUUAGAAUAAAAUAAUAAAUAAAUUAUAGAACAGCUCUCAUCAACACAAUAAAAAACAAUCAAUAAAUCAUCAACACAAUAAAAAUUA